AAAGCAAAGGAGAAAUAAAGAAAAGAAAGGAAACUCAAGAACUUGUGAACAGCUUCAAUCAUUCAAUAACUCUAGGUCACGCGCUAUUGUCUGCCUGAUUUGUGAUCUGUCUGAUCUGCUUCUGCAACUAUCUGUGAACAGGCGCGUGACCAGGUUUAGAGGCAUCUGCCUGGAAUCUAUUUUUGUCAGCAAACCUAUGUGCCUCCCGUGGAGGUUCCGAAUAUGUCAAGUGACUAUGGCUAUGUGAUUUUAAGUUUAAGUUCUAUUUCCUUGUUCGGUUAAACAAGUUUUUGUGUAUUUUGUAAAUA